rnacentral:rRNA from 1 species
GAUGAACGCUGGCGGCGUGCCUAAUACAUGCGAGUCGAGCGAACAGAUGAGGAGCUUGCUCCUCUGACGUUAGCGGCGGACGGGUGAGUAACACGUGGAUAACCUACCUAUAAGACUGGGAUAACUUCGGGAAACCGGAGCUAAUACCGGAUAAUAUAUUGAACCGCAUGGUUCAAUAGUGAAAGACGGUUUUGCUGUCACUUAUAGAUGGAUCCGCGCCGCAUUAGCUAGUUGGUAAGGUAACGGCUUACCAAGGCAACGAUGCGUAGCCGACCUGAGAGGGUGAUCGGCCACACUGGAACUGAGACACGGUCCAGACUCCUACGGGAGGCAGCAGUAGGGAAUAUUCCGCAAUGGGCGAAAGCCUGACGGAGCAACGCCGCGUGAGUGAUGAAGGUCUUCGGAUCGUAAAACUCUGUUAUUAGGGAAGAACAAAUGUGUAAGUAACUAUGCACGUCUUGACGGUACCUAAUCAGAAAGCCACGGCUAACUACGUG